AUUGAACGCUGGCGGCAUGCUUUACACAUGCAAGUCGAACGGUAACAGGCCUUCGGGCGCUGACGAGUGGCGAACGGGUGAGUAAUGCAUCGGAACGUGCCCAAUCGUGGGGGAUAACGUAGCGAAAGUUACGCUAAUACCGCAUGAGAUCUACGGAUGAAAGCAGGGGAUCGCAAGACCUUGCGCGAUUGGAGCGGCUGAUGUCAGAUUAGGUAGUUGGUGGGGUAAAGGCCCACCAAGCCGACGAUCUGUAGCUGGUUUGAGAGAACGACUAGCCACACUGGGACUGAGACACGGCCCAGACUCCUACGGGAGGCAGCAGUGGGGAAUUUUGGACAAUGGGCGCAAGCCUGAUCCAGCAAUGCCGCGUGCAGGAAGAAGGCCUUCGGUUGU
rnacentral:rRNA from 1 species